ACAUCUAAUGUACCAUUUCCUGCCGUUCAAACCAAAUAUGAACUGUUCCUUAUUGACUUUAAGUUCUUUGUUCUGCUCUACGAAGUGUUUUUUCCGAGUUUACUGUAAGUAAACUGGUUGUUUUCUUAUUUCUGUUUCCAAGUGGUCGAGCGCUUUUGUUUACAAUUUAAUUGUUUCAAGAUGGCGGACCGAUCAGCUGAGUGGCGUAUUUCAUCGAUGUGGAACGAUCUCAGUCGGAUUGGAAUGAGACAAAUCACAGACGAAAAUGAAUUGGAUGAACUGAUUAUUUAUUAUUUCAAUGCAAGACCUAUUGAUUGUGAAGACAGUAGAUUCUAGUUUGGAGGAGGAGACACAUGAUGAACCAAUUACGACGACGACCGUGGCCGUGACACACCCCACAUACACCCACACCCCUUCUCAUUUAUAACCAUCAUGGUCUGGAAUCUGGAACUUCAUGAAGAAGAAGUCCUGGUUCCUGUUCAACCAGUUGGCAUAACAUCAUCAGAAGGUGCAAUUGCUGGCCCAGGACCUUCGCAGCCCCCCUCCCAUGCUCCCAGUGAAGCAGAUCCAGAGUCUCUGACUGCUGUGCUCUACAACAACAAAGUGAUGCUGACCAGUCCAGUAUUGCUGAAGGUAA